UCUGGAGCAGGACGUCUUUUAGGAGAUACGAGGUUCGAGAGUUACGUCCUGCUCUUGUGCGCCGUCUGUUUGAUGUCCUUUAACAUAUUGGUAAGGCUCCGGCGCCUUUGUGCGCCGUAUCCGUAGCGAGCAUCAACUCCUGACAGUCCUAUUUCUCAGUUGGUCGGAGUGCCUCACUGAUUAUGUGGAGGUCGGGAGUUCAGGUCUGCCUGGGACUACUGCGUGACCUCGCGUCAGUGAUGCGUCCUCUUCGGGGGGAUUAGCUCAUCUGGUUUGAGCAGCUGCUUUGCAAGCAAGGGGUCAUCGGCUCGAAUCCGUUAUUCUCCACCCUUCCGGACAAUUGUUCCCGAUCCGAUCUUUGACCUUCUGACACAAGCGAGACUGUCGUCUGCCCCUGAUCGGGCGAGCUCAAUGAAGAAAACUGAAGUAUGAACUCC
rnacentral:misc_RNA from 1 species